rnacentral:rRNA from 1 species
AUUGAACGCUGGCGGCAGGCCUAACACAUGCAAGUCGAGCGGCAGCGGGAAGUAGCUUGCUACUUUGCCGGCGAGCGGCGGACGGGUGAGUAAUGUCUGGGAAACUGCCUGAUGGAGGGGGAUAACUACUGGAAACGGUAGCUAAUACCGCAUAACGUCGCAAGACCAAAGAGGGGGACCUUCGGGCCUCUUGCCAUCAGAUGUGCCAAGAUGGGAUUAGCUAGUAGGUGGGGUAAUGGCUCACCUAGGCGACGAUCCCUAGCUGGUCUGAAAGGAUGACCAGCCACACUGGAACUGAGACACGGUCCAGACUCCUACGGGAGGCAGCAGUGGGGAAUAUUGCACAAUGGGCGCAAGCCUGAUGCAGCCAUGCCGCGUGUAUGAAGAAGGCCUUCGGGUUGUAAAGUACAUUCAGCGGGGAGGAAGGUGUUGAGGUUAAUAACCUCAGCAAUUGACGUUACCCGCAGAAGAAGCACCGGCUAACUCCGUGCCAGCCGCCGCCGUAAUAC